CUUGAAAACAAUUUGGGUUCCCCUGAAUAUAACAAAGAUCAAAUUGGAUCUAUAUCAGUUACAUCCAAUGGCGUCACCCCUUUUAAUGAAUUGUGUUUGACCAGGUUCUGAGGCUAGGGUCUGGCUGAUUGUGAUACAAUGAAGAAGUGAAUGGAGUGGUGGUCUGACAAAACUGGAUUUACAGUUACUGGUGACACUUCUAGUCCAGACUGGAACACUAGAUCUAGUGUAUGACCUUUUCUGUGGGCAGAAGUGGCGACAAUUUGUGUGAAGCCGAGUGCAUUCAUCAAGCUAAGGAGAUCCUGCCCAAGUAGGGAUAGGGUGUCAUCAACCCAAGUGUUGAAAUCUCCAAAUAUAAGCCAUCUGGGGUUUUCAAGGAUUAAGCCAGCCAUCUCUUCCCAUCUCCUUGGGGUCUGUAUUUUAACAGUAUCCGGAAUCCUCUGUGUAUUGAGAGGCUGACAGCUACGCAUUCAAAAGAUUGGGGUUUGUGGACUGACAUUGGUCUGGGAUUUAAGGAUGAUUUCGCACAGAUCAUAACUCCACCUCCCUUGCGACCUUGUCUCGGGCGGUGGAACACCUUGUAAUUGCUUGGAAUAGCUGCCUCUAGAAUAGGCACUGCAGUUUCAUCUAGCCAUUAUUCUGUAAUGCAUGCUAAUUGCAUGUUUCAAUAAGGUCGGCAAUAAUAGCGGCUUUGUUUCUUAUUGAUCUGGCAUUGCACAGGAUUGAUCUGGUAAGACAGUCUUGGGAUUCUGAUGGUUAUCACACAAAGAGGUUUCCUUGAUUUGAUAGUGCGGUUUUUGUGGCUUCUAGGUUGAAUCAUUAUAAUUGGGCUUGCAGGUAGACAGGGUGGUGGAGCAGCUGUGAUAGUGACUUUACUUCACCAGGAAUACUCUAUGACCAAUUGCAUUGUAUUGAUUGGCCUGCAUUUAAC